rnacentral:rRNA from 1 species
UUCCUACGGGGGGCAGCAGUGGGGAAUUUUGGACAAUGGGGGCAACCCUGAUCCAGCCAUGCCGCGUGCGGGAAGAAGGCCUUCGGGUUGUAAACCGCUUUUGUCAGGGAAGAAACGCUCUGAGCUAAUACCUUGGGGUAAUGACGGUACCUGAAGAAUAAGCACCGGCUAACUACGUGCCAGCAGCCGCGGUAAUACGUAGGGUGCAAGCGUUAAUCGGAAUUACUGGGCGUAAAGCGUGCGCAGGCGGUCUUGCAAGGCAGAUGUGAACUCCCCGGGCUCAACCUGGGAACUGCAUUUGUGACUGCAAGGCUGGAGUGCGGCAGAGGGGGAUGGAAUUCCGCGUGUAGCAGUGAAAUGCGUAGAUAUGCGGAGGAACACCGAUGGCGAAGGCAAUCCCCUGGGCCUGCACUGACGCUCAUGCACGAAAGCGUGGGGAGCAAACAGGAUUAGAUACCCGUGUAGUC